UACAGAGGGUGCAAGCGUUAAUCGGAAUUACUGGGCGUAAAGCGUGCGUAGUCGGUUAUCUAAGUCGGAUGUGAAAUCCCCGGGCUCAACCUGGGAAUUGCAUUCGAUACUGGAUAGCUAGAGUUCGGCAGAGGGAAGUGGAAUUUCGGGUGUAGCGGUGAAAUGCGUAGAUAUCCGAAGGAACAUCAGUGGCGAAAGCGACUUCCUGGACCAGAACUGACGAUCAGGCACGAAAGCGUGGGGAGCAAACAGGG
rnacentral:rRNA from 1 species